ACCGUCGGUUGCGGAUCCAACGGUCAAUUUUUUGGUCUACGCAGAACCCAAUCGGACCUCUGGGCCGCUUCUACGGGCUGGACUGAAAGCCCAACCUGGCCGGAGCCCGAACCCGGAGCGGCGGGCGUGGACGACGAAAGCCACCGCAGCCGCGGCGAGAAGGGCGGACCCGACGAUGCCGCACGCCACGCCCGCGGCGAGGAGGACAGCACUGGGACCGUCCCGGUGCUGCGGCCGCGGCGGCGCUAGCUUCCAGGCCGGCUCGGAGACGUUCUGCGCCUCCGGGAGCGCAACCUCCGGCCGGCCGCGGAAGAAUGUCACCAUCGCCGGGGAAGCCGGGCCGGGGUC
rnacentral:lncRNA from 1 species